rnacentral:rRNA from 1 species
UGGGGAAUAUUGCACAAUGGUGGGAACUCUUAUGCAGCGACGCCGCGUGAACGUAGAAGGCUUUCGAGUCGUAAAGUUCUUUUCUAUGGGAAGAUAAUGACGGUACCAUAAGAAAAAGCCCCGGCUCACUACGUGCCAGCAGCCGCGGUAAUACGUAGGGGGAUAGCGUUGUCCGGAAUCACUGGGCGUAAAGGGUUCGCAGACGGAAAUGCAAGUCAGGUGUAAAAGGCAGUAGCUUAACUACUGUAAGCAUUUGAAACUGCAUAUCUUGAGAAGAGUAGAGGUAAGUGGAAUUUUUAGAGUAGCAGUGAAAUGCGUAGAUAUUAAAAAGAAUACCGGUGGCGAAGGCGACUUACUGGGCUCAUUCUGACGCUGAGGAACGAAAGCGUGGGUAGCAAACAGG